rnacentral:lncRNA from 1 species
GAAGAGGCUGAAAUGCUAAUCACCAGAUCCAGGUGCCAUUCUAACCACACCUUUGCCCUCUUGCAGAUGGAAGUCCCUACACUUGGUGGGUUGGCAAAGCCAAUGAGAAGCACUACUACUGGGGUGGCUCGGAGCCCGGAAUUCAGAAGUGUGCCUGUGGCAUCGAGCGCAACUGCACAGACCCCAAAUACUACUGCAACUGCGACGCAGACUACAAGCAGUGGAGGAAAGAUGCUGGCUUCUUAUCCUACAAAGAUCAUCUGCCAGUGAGCCAGGUGGUGGUUGGAGAUACUGACCGGCAAGGUUCAGAAGCCAAACUGAGCGUGGGUCCCCUGCGCUGCCAAGGAGACAGUAAGUUUGCCCACUAGCUGUGGGUUACACUUUAUCACAUUUAAAUAGAAUUUCUGUGAUU